rnacentral:sRNA from 1 species
GCCAGGCACAGUGGCCCAUGCCUGUAAUCCCAGCAACUCGGGAGGCUGAGGCAGGAGGAUCAUUAGUUCAAAAGCCAGCCUCAG